CCUCAAUUUGUUCUUUUCUCUUAUUUUGUCUUCAUUUGUCAUAUAACUCCUCAAUUUGCAGAGGUGAAAUUGUUGACCAGUCUCUCCUAAUAAUUACUAAUAUAUACUACUCCCAUCCUAACAUGUAUAUCCACAAUUUGCUGUGUAAUUAUAUAUUCUUGUUAAUGAGGUUUGCCUAUCUAUUAGUGUAAUUCUUAUAUAAUGUUGAUAGUUACAACAUAUCAACUGGUAUUUUUGAUGGUGUUUCUGUGAAAUAUGUUUUCUGGUCAAGAGAGGUAAACUAAUUACUAGUAUAUUGCUUUCUUCUCAAGGGUGUCAUUGUUCUUUUAUAAUGAAUAAUUUCUUUCAGUGUAUUUUGAAAAUAUUAUUAAAUUUUGGGAUUAUAGAAGAUCUGUGCAAUAUAAAAUUAGGCAGAUAAUUCCUUCCGAGUAUUUUUGUUUGCUGAAGUAGGAGAUCUUAUGUUAUGUUUUGAUAUUUGAUUUGGUAAUUGAAAGUUGAAACACUUGCCUGAUUUGCUUUCUAUAUGCAUGUAUGUACUAUAAUAUAAUUGCAAGAAUAUAAUUGGAUCUUAUGGAAAAUCAAUUCUACAUAGCUUUUGGUGCACUUGGUCAUGUCAAUUUCUGGUAUUUGGUCUUGCCUUGAAUAACUGAGUUCACCAACAUGUUCCAUGUUACUAUAAGUGAACUAGAUUCCUUGUCAUCGUAAGUAAUUUGAGUUCAUCUUAACAUCUGUGUAAAUUGCAUGCUCAGAGAAAGAAAAAUAAAAAAUUUAGUUGUCAUUGUUAAAUCCUUUCAAUUUUUUUUCAUUGCUUCUGGUUUUUAAAUGAAAAUCUCUUGGAGCAAUCCAGCAGGUUUUAAAUUCCUUUCUCUUUUCUUUAUUUUACUAGAGAAGGUGAAUGCAGCAAUCAAAUUCACUUCUGUAGAGUACAUUCUUUAAAUUCUUGAUAAUUUGUUCUAUUUGUUCAUGAAGUUGGCAACACUAACUGUGAGUAUUCUUGCCUAUCCAUAUCAAAUUUGCUUUAAUUCUUCCAAAAAAGAAAAAAAAAAGUGAAUCCAUGAUUAUUUAUUUGUUUCCAUUCUUACAUUAUAAAUGUUCUGUUUUGCUAUUCAACAAUUCACUUCUGAUAAUGAUUAUGUCCUUUUCUUUUAUUUCAUUUGAUUUGAUAUAAUUUGGUACUUCUAAUGUUGCUUGUAAUUUUUAAUUUUUCAUUGAUUCUUAAUAUGAAAGCUCAUGCUUUAUAUCUUACUAUGUGGUGGAUUGUUUUAUUGAAAGCUUUAAAUUUUGGUGACGUGGGACAAGGGCAACCGUGGUCGAGAUUGCUUCAGGAAUCUGCUGCCAAAGAAUAUGGCAAGUCUGGAGACCCCUUUCUUCAUUCAAUCCCAUUUCAGAACUGGAACCUGAUUCUCCGAUUAUCCAGAUUCGACCUGGUUCUGGUAGUAUUUUUCUGGGGCUGCUGACAAAAUUCAGCUGGUAGUAUUUCUUAAAUUUUCUCAUUCAUCUCCAAUUGGAUCCUUCUUAUUCCACUUGGUCCAUAUGCACAACUAACUGGUAGUAUAUAUAUAUGUUGUUCAUAUCCCUUUUGAAGAAUUCACAUUCAUAUAAACAUGAAGAAGAAUAUUUAUGUUAUCUAUAUAUAGCUCAUCAGCUAGUUUUUUGAGACCAUAUAUAUGAUAUCUACAUACGUAAUUAGUCUGGCCCCAUUUAAUCUAAUCAAUUGUUUAGAAAGAGAUAUAGCUAGCUAGCACUACCACUGUACAUAUAUAUAUACAUGUUCACAUUUGAUGAAGCCGUCAAUUAUAAUAUGAUUGUUGUUCUUACCAAACUUUUAUCGUGCUACAAAAUAUAUAUAUAUAUAUAUACAUCAACUUUUGGGACCUUGACAAGCUACUGGAAUUGGCUAGGAACAUAUUUUAGGCGUGAAAGCUAACAAUCAAAUUAAACCAAGUAAGUAGUGAAUAAUUCAGUUAGAUCGACAUAGAAUAUAAUUGGUCAACCAAGACUCUUCUGAUCUACAAAAUUGUUAAUAGGAAAGGGUCAAUACAUGGAAGCUUGACCUCCUAAAUUCUUUAACAAUAUCAAUUCCAAUGGAGGCUUCACUAGCGAUUAGAAUUUAAUGAUGCUACUUCCUCUUUUUUUUCUGUUUUUUUAUUUUUAUUUUUUUGUUUGCUUCUCAAAUUCUGAAGAAAGUGAUUGAUAUUCACACCUGAAGAUUCUGGUGAUGGCUUUUUUUUUAUUGAUUUUGGUUAUCAUGAUUCCAUUCACAGGAACUAAAAAGGUUAUCACAAAAAUAUUAAAAAGUCUUGUUUUGCAGGCUCUUGCUAGCUGUUCUUCAUAGGGUGAUUACAGAAUGUGGGACUCAGGACUUGGAUGAAAGCAUGCCUCUUGCACUUUCUUUAGCUUCUUUAUUACAAGGUAGCACCUUGUUAAUUUAUUUCUCAUUGUAUAACUUGUCCAUGUUAUAUAUUUGCAGAGCUUGGUUCAGUUUGUGAAGAAAGGUUACUCUUAGUCCAUGAAAGGGAUCUUGAUAACUCUAAUCUAUCUGGACAUUUGGGGUAUUGCUUGGGGACUGGUGAAACUGUGGCUAUAAAGAAGGUUCUUCAAGACAAGAAUUUGAAGAGGUUUAAAAUCAGUGGAAAGUCAAAGAAAGUUCUUUGGAGACUAGGAAUUCUGGUGGGUUAAUUUCUCAAGCUCAUGCCAAUGCUACUAGAAAUGUUAUGAUGCCAGAAGUCAACUUUUUAGCUCACAGCUCAUGUCCUUCGAGCUCCUUUUUUUGCAUGCCUAUGCUAAUACUUCUCAAAGUAAUAGUUAGUGGAUAUAAUUUGCUUAAUUAUUUGUAUAGAAAAAGUAAUAGUUAGUGGAUAUAAUUUGCUUAAUUAUUUGUAUAGAAAUUAUUACUUUUGAUUUCUAAUACUAAUAAAAAAAAUUA